rnacentral:rRNA from 1 species
UACGUAGGGGGCUAGCGUUGUCCGGAAUCAUUGGGCGUAAAGAGCGUGUAGGCGGCCCGGUAAGUCCGCUGUGAAAGUCGGGGGCUCAACCCUCGAAUGCCGGUGGAUACUGUCGGGCUAGAGUGCGGAAGAGGCGAGUGGAAUUCCUGGUGUAGCGGUGAAAUGCGCAGAUAUCAGGAGGAACACCAAUUGCGAAGGCAGCUCGCUGGGACGUAACUGACGCUGAGACGCGAAAGUGUGGGGAGCGAACAGG